GCUCGGGAUAGGGAUCAACUACCAGUCUGGUUCUGCAUGUUCAAACUUUCCCAGGUCAUCCUGUGCUGUGAAGGUUAUUGAUCUGAUCGUACCAAUCGCCAUGGAACUUCACCUGUUCGCCACGGCCUGUCUCCUGUUUGGCAGGAUAAUGCUAACGCACCAAACUCAGAAUCACAUGAACCCAGUUACCACACUUCUCUUCCCUCCACGUGGCCCUCAGAUGUUUCCCUGUCUAACUUACUUGGAGCGAAAUGUCAGGGUGGACUGUGAGUUCCCACCCACCUAUGAGGUCCCAG